rnacentral:rRNA from 1 species
UACAGAGGUCCCGAGCGUUGUUCGGAUUCACUGGGCGUAAAGGGUGCGUAGGUGGCAUGGUAAGUUUGAUGUGAAAGCUCAGGGCUCAACCCUGAAAUGGCAUUGAAUACUACUGUGCUGGAGGUUUGGAGGGGGGACUGGAAUUCUUGGUGUAGCAGUGAAAUGCGUAGAUAUCAAGAGGAACACCAGUGGCGAAGGCGAGUCCCUGGACAACUCCUGACACUGAGGCACGAAAGCUAGGGGAGCAGACAGG